UGGCACCUUGAUGUCGGCUCAUCACAUCCUGGGGCUGUAGCCGGUCCCAAGGGUUUGGCUGUUCGCCAAUUAAAGUGGUACGUGAGCUGGGUUUAGAACGUCGUGAGACAGUUCGGUCCCUAUCUGCCGUGGGCGUCGGAAGUUUGAGAAGAGCUGCUCCUAGUACGAGAGGACCGGAGUGGACGAACCUCUGGUGUUCGGGUUGUCAUGCCAAUGGCAUUGCCCGGUAGCUACGUUCGGACGGGAUAACCGCUGAAAGCAUCUAAGCGGGAAGCCUACCUCAAGAUAAGAUUUCCCCAGGA
rnacentral:rRNA from 1 species